AGUGAACGCUGGCGGUAGGCCUAACACAUGCAAGUCGAACGGCAGCACAGUAAGAGCUUGCUCUUACGGGUGGCGAGUGGCGGACGGGUGAGGAAUACAUCGGAAUCUACUUUUUCGUGGGGGAUAACGUAGGGAAACUUACUCUAAUACCGCAUACGACCUACGGGUGAAAGCAGGGGAUCUUCGGACCUUGCGCGAUUGAAUGAGCCGAUGUCGGAUUCGCUAGUUGGCGGGUUAAAGGCCCACCAAGGCGACGAUCCGUAGCUGGUCUGAGAGGAUGAUCCGCCACACUGGAACUGAGACACGGUCCAGACUCCUACGGGAGGCAGCAGUGGGGAAUCUUCGACAGUGGGCGCUAGCCUGUUCCAGACAUACCGCGUGGGUGAAGAAGGCCUUCGGGUUGUAAAGGACUUUUGUUGGGAAAGAAAAGAAGCAGGUUAAUACCCCGCUGUUCUGACGGUACCCAAAGAAUAAGCACCGGCUAACUUCGU
rnacentral:rRNA from 1 species